ACGGGAGGCAGCAGUGGGGGAUAUUGCACAAUGGGGGAAACCCUGAUGUAGCGACGCCGCGUGAGUGAAGAAGUAUUUCGGUAUGUAAAGCUCUAUCAGCAGGGAAGAAAAUGACGGUACCUGACUAAGAAGCUCCGGCUAAAUACGUGCCAGCAGCCGCGGUAAUACGUAUGGAGCAAGCGUUAUCCGGAUUUACUGGGUGUAAAGGGAGCGUAGACGGCGAGGCAAGUCUGAUGUGAAAGCUAUGGGCUCAACCCAUAAACUGCAUUGGAAACUGUCUUGCUUGAGUGUCGGAGAGGUAAGCGGAAUUCCUAGUGUAGCGGUGAAAUGCGUAGAUAUUAGGAGGAACACCAGUGGCGAAGGCGGCUUACUGGACGAUAACUGACGUUGAGGCUCGAAAGCGUGGGGAGCAAACAGGAUUAGAUACCCUGGUA
rnacentral:rRNA from 1 species